UACGUAGGGUGCGAGCGUUAAUCGGAAUUACUGGGCGUAAAGAGCUCGUAGGCGGUUUGUCGCGUCUGCUGUGAAAACUCGGGGCUUAACCCCGGGCCUGCAGUGGGUACGGGCAGACUAGAGUGCGGUAGGGGAGACUGGAAUUCCUGGUGUAGCGGUGAAAUGCGCAGAUAUCAGGAGGAACACCGGUGGCGAAGGCGGGUCUCUGGGCCGUAACUGACGCUGAGGGGCGAAAGCGUGGGGAGCGAACAGG
rnacentral:rRNA from 1 species